rnacentral:rRNA from 1 species
GUGUCAGCCGCCGCGGUAAUACGGAGGGUGCGAGCGUUAAUCGGGUUUACUGGGCGUAAAGCGUGCGUAGGCGGCUUUUUAAGUCGGAUGUGAAAUCCCCGAGCUUAACUUGGGAAUUGCAUACGAUACUGGGGAGCUAGAGUAUGGGAGAGGAUGGUAGAAUUCCAGGUGUAGCGGUGAAAUGCGUAGAGAUCUGGAGGAAUACCGAUGGCGAAGGCAGCCAUCUGGCCUAAUACUGACGCUGAGGUACGAAAGCAUGGGGAGCAAACAGGAUUAGAUACCCUCGUAGUCC